AAUAAUGGGUUAAUAUCGAAUUGUAUCCGUAAAGCUUUAAGCUUAAAAGUCCAAUAACCAAUGGUAAAUAAAAAACGGUUAGCUUUGAAUAAAUUUUGAAUGUUUUUCUCAUCUCCAACGGUUUAUUCUGAUGGUUUAAAUGUGUAAUAGCGGAGGUUAAGGAGGAUGGCUUAGUAUAUGUGAAAGUGUACAAAUGUGGGAAAAUGUAACAAAGCCGCUGGACUUAGCUUCUCAAGAUCUUUGAAAUAGUCCACUCAAAAAGUCUCCGUGAAUAGCGUAUAGAAACAAAAGAUUAGGCUGUAUGAUGGAAUACUUGGGAUUUGAUACUUUCACCUUUCCAGUUGGAAAAAUGAAACCUACUACUCGUCAAUUCGUAGAUUAUGGCAGUACGUCUGCAUAUAACUUGGAAUGCAAACAGCUGGAACGGGUCGUGGUUGAGUUACAACAUGGCAGCCCACGCGCGGUGUGCGCUCAUCGUCAUCGCGCUCGGCGUGUCCUCGGUUACGCUUUCAAUGUCUCACAGCAAGGUGUGCCAGCAGAGUUCCACACUGCAGUCGCCAAUUCGAAUCUGGUCCCAUUAGUCCAAUUACGUAAUCGUAAUAGUGCAUUAGCGUCUGGACGAGAGAGCUGCAUGUUUUUGAUUAACCAAUCGAAUUGGAGUGGAUAAUAAAACUGUAAACUGUAGACAAGAUUAUUUUUUCUCAGAUGAGAUCACAAUGUAAACAAUAAUAUCUGAACAAUAAUGAUUCAUUCUUAAGAAAACAAAACCAGCUCCUAUUCAUUUUUGAUCAACACAUUUCUAUAGUUGUAUUUGUAUUUAAUCUAAUAAUUGAUCCAUUCAAUAAAUUACAUAGAUCAAAACUA